ACAGGACAUUGUGAUGGGCCCUUUAACCCAGUUUUACAGAUGAGGAAACUGAGACUUGGAAAACUAAAGUGACUUGCCCAAGGUGCUAAAAAGUAGUCAAGUCAGGAGUGGGCAGAGCCGAGAGCAGAUGUGCCUUGGAGCAAGGGCCUGGUGGAAACCCAUCUCAGAAUUUGAGACUUUGUCCUGAUUGGAAGCCAGAACCCAAAAGGAGCCUCUCAGGGGCCUGAACCAUUGAGUUAUGAAUGCUCACCCCACAGACCAGCUGCAUCAGAUUCACCUGGCUGCUGUUUUGAAUACAGAUGACAAGGCCUCACAUCUGACCUACUUAACCAGACACAGCUGAGCAAGAGCCCUGGGGAUCUUUUUUAAAAAAAUCAGCCCAUAGGGCCAGGCGCCAUGGCUCACGCCUGUAAUCCCA
rnacentral:lncRNA from 1 species